UACGAACUGCCCAAACGUUGUUCGGAAUCACUGGGCUUAAAGGGUGCGUAGGCGGCUUGUCAAGUCAGGGGUGAAAUCCGGCAGCUUAACUGUCGAAGUGCCUUUGAUACUGAUGAGCUCGAGGGAGGUAGGGGUCCGUGGAACUUCUGGUGGAGCGGUGAAAUGCGUUGAUAUCAGAAGGAACGCCGGUGGCGAAAGCGACGGACUGGAUCUCUUCUGACGCUGAGGCACGAAAGCUAGGGGAGCAAACGGG
rnacentral:rRNA from 1 species